rnacentral:lncRNA from 1 species
UCUGAACAUUGCCCCACCCAGUCCAAACCUCUCUCCAAACCCCUUCUGUCUUCGUCUCUAAAGAACCCCAGAUAUGUAAACCUCAAGAUCCUCACAUUAUCCCCUUUCCCAAGCCCCAAUCAAUUUUUCUCAAAUAUAUCUAGAACUCCAUGAAUCUUAAAUCUGAGUUCGAACCCUAAAAGAACAAAAUCAUUUUUCGUUGAACCCGGUCGCAUCCAUGACAAUAGGCUGCUAUUUCUUUCGAACUUGAAGUUUUGAUCUAAUGAAAACUGAUGUUAUUCAGUUGUUCUUGAUAAAAAACAAAUGAUUAACAUUAGUUCAUUAAAUCAAUGUGUCCAGUGGGUUUUAAUUUUUGAUUUGGUAAGUCUUGCCUAUAAAAGCAUUCUUUCUUCACUCACAAGGCAAAGAACUUAGAGACUAAAAAUUAUGAAAAAUUGAAAACGGCUAGACUUGAAAAGCUUUGAAAAUCACAUUGACAUUCUUGCAUUUUUUGGAAAGUUGCUCAAAUUCUGCCUGGAUUUUGUGUUUUCAUUGGUUAGCUAGAAUUUCCAAAAGUUUCUAAGGUCCUCCACCUGGGUAAAAAUGGCUUGAGUUUUGGGUUUUAAAGGUCUGGUUUGAGUUGUUGUUAGGAUACUGUUUCAUUGUUGUUUCUUAAGCUGAUUUCUGCUAGUGCUGAUUGGUGAUUCUUCACUUCUUUUGUGUCCCUUUUUAUUUCCAGGUACUUCUUAUGAACCAUUAAAUGGCAAAGUGAAGUUGUGAGAGAGCCAGAGCCCUUAAGUGGUAAAAGGAUAUAAAAUUCCCAAUGGGAGAGCAUGCGCCCAGAGAAGAGAAGCGCUUAAGCAAAGAAGGUUGACUUGGAAGUUGUUUAGUUAGAGGAGGACGCCCCAAGCCAAUGGUGACCGAAAAGCACCUUUUUGGGGGUUCUAUCGAAGACUUAUAGUGCAUCUAUUAAGUACAUCUACAAGACGAUGAAACUAUAUAUGAUAUGCCAGUAGAUUAGUUGUUUCAAUUUCAUCAGAUGUG